rnacentral:rRNA from 1 species
UACGUAGGUGGCAAGCGUUGUCCGGAUUUACUGGGCGUAAAGAGCGCGCAGGCGGUCGUUCAAGUCGCGUGUGAAAGCCCCCGGCUCAACUGGGGAGGGUCACGCGAUACUGAUCGACUCGAAGGCAGGAGAGGGUAGUGGAAUUCCCGGUGUAGUGGUGAAAUGCGUAGAUAUCGGGAGGAACACCAGUGGCGAAGGCGACUACCUGGCCUGUUUCUUGACGCUGAGGCGCGAAAGCUAGGGGAGCAACGGGG